AUUGAACGCUGGCGGCAGGCCUAACACAUGCAAGUCGAACGAGUGGCGGACGGGUGCGUAAUGUCUGGGAAACUGCCUGAUGGAGGGGGAUAACUACUGGAAACGGUAGCUAAUACCGCAUACCAUCGGAUGUGCCCAGAUGUGAUUAGCUAGUAGGUGGGGUAAAGGCUCACCUAGGCGACGAUCCCUAGCUGGUCUGAGAGGAUGACCAGCAACACUGGAACUGAGACACGGUCCAGACGCCUAGGGUAGGCAGCAGUGGGGAAUAUUGCACGAUGUGCGCAAGCCUGAUGCAGCCAUGCCGCGUGGAUGAAGAAGGCCUUCGGGUUGUAAAGUACUUUCAGCGGUGAGGGGUUACACGCAGAAGAAGCACCGGCUAACUCCGUGCCAGCCGCCGCGGUAAUUC
rnacentral:rRNA from 1 species